UACAGAGGGGGCAAGCGUUGUUCGGAAUUACUGGGCGUAAAGGGCGCGUAGGCGGCCAACUAAGUCGGACGUGAAAUCCCCGGGCUCAACCCGGGAACUGCGUCCGAUACUGGAUGGCUUGAAUCCGGGAGAGGGAUGUGGAAUUCCAGGUGUAGCGGUGAAAUGCGUAGAGAUGCGGAGGAACACCGAUGGCGAAGGCAGCCCCCUGGGCUAGCACUGACGCUCAGGCACGAAAGCGUGGGGAGCAAACAGG
rnacentral:rRNA from 1 species